AUAUCUUAUUGCUUUUAUCCUUCUGUGGGAGUUGAAUGGCAAAGUGUCUUUGAUCUCUCCAAAUAUUGAUGGAAGAAGAGUUGUCCGCUAUCUAAAUUCUGGUACAUUUUCUAACCAAUUUUUAUACUCUGAUUUUACAAGGUAAUAAUCCAAUUGAUGUCAAUAGAAAAAUUCUAACCAUGGAAAGCUUAAUUGGACGUUGAGUUGAUUGUGUGGAAAAAAAAAUCAGAAUGACACACUAACGUGGAAAAAGCCGGAUUGCUGAUGAGCAUAGGGGCAAAUAGAUGCAAUUCAUAUUAUUUCAUAAGAAUUCAGAGGAAAAUAUUGUUGAGCAUCACAUCAAUUA
rnacentral:misc_RNA from 1 species